rnacentral:rRNA from 1 species
UACGGAGGGUGCAAGCGUUAAUCGGAAUUACUGGGCGUAAAGCGUAUGCAGGCGGUCAAUUAAGUCAGAUGUGAAAGCCCCGAGCUUAACUUGGGAAUUGCAUCUGAAACUGGUUGGCUAGAGUCUUGUAGAGGGGGGUAGAAUUCCAGGUGUAGCGGUGAAAUGCGUAGAGAUGUGGAAGAACACCAGUGGCGAAGGCGGCCCGCUGGACCAAGACUGACGCUGAGGUGCGAAAGCGUGGGGAGCAAACAGG